rnacentral:rRNA from 1 species
CGGCGGAGACCUAGGCACCCANNNNNNNNNNNNNNNGCAGAUACCGGCGAAACGCUCUGGGGAGCUGGCAACAAGCUUUGAUCCGGAGAUCCCCGAAUAGGGCAACCACUAGAACGUCCUAUGAGAUUCAUACUUAGGAAAGAGGCAACCCGGUGAACUGAAACAUCUAAGUAGCCGGAGGAAAAGAAAGCAAAAGCGAUUCCCGGAGUAGCGGCGAGCGAAAAGGGAACAGCCUAAACCGAUGCCUAACGGCGCGGGGUAGAGGGAGGACUGUUCUAUGAAAGGCUUAGCUCUGCUAGCCUUUCAACUUUGAAAAGCAAUAUCACGAGGUUCGCCUGCACUUCCCCUUACGGGUUGAAAAGCAAAGCUUUUCUUAGUGCAAGCGAACCCGUAAGGGAGCUUUUCAAGGAUUGUUUUAUUAAACUCUUGUAGACGAAGCAGCUGAAUCCUGCACCAUAGAUGGUGAAAGUCCAGUAGUCAAAAAAAAGAUAAACAAUUGUCUGAUCCCGAGUAGCAUGGGGCACGUGAAAUCCCGUGUGAAUCUGCGAGGACCACCUCGUAAGGCUAAAUACUACUGAGUGACCGAUAGCGAAAUAGUACCGCGAGGGAACGGUUAAAUAGAACCCCCGUAGGGAGUGAAAUAGAACAUGAAACCGUUCGCUGACAAGCAGUGGGAGGGGUUAGACCCUGACCGCGUGCCUGUUGAAGAAUGAGCCGGCGACUUAUAAUAAGUGGCAAGGUUAAGGAUAUUUCUCCGGAGCCUAAGCGAAAGCAAGUCUGAAUAGGGCAAAAUCAGUCACUUAUUAUGGACCCGAACCCGGGUGAUCUAAUCCUUUCCAGGAUGAAGUUUGGGUCACACCAAAUGGAGGUCCGAACCGACUGAUGUUGAAAAAUCAGCGGAUGAGUUGGGAUUAGGGGAGAAAUUCCAAUCGAACUCGGAGCUAGCUGGAUCUCCCCGAAAUGCGUUGAGGCGCAGCGGCGACGAAGAGCUCUCUAGGGGUAAAGCACUGUUUCGAUACGGGCUGCGAAAGCGGUACCAAGUCGUGGCAAACUCAGAAUACUAGAGAAUGCAUUCCGUGAGCCAGUGAGACUACGGGGGAUAAGCUCCGUAUGUCAAGAGGGAAACAGCCCAGAUCACCAGAUAAGGCCCCAAAAUGGUCACUAAGUGGAAAAGGAUGUGAGAAUGCUUAAACAACCAGGAGGUUCGCUUAGAAGCAGCUAUCUUCCUUGAAAGAGUGCGUAAUAGCUCACUGGGAAAGCGUUCUUGCGCCGACAAUGGCCGGGACUAAGUGACCUGCCGAAGCUGUGAGAUUUCCAAAAACGACUGGAUCUAAUAAAAUCUUUUCUUACCGAGGACUACGUCCUCUUGCGGUAAGCGGAGCUAACCUGUAAAGGAGCUAACUUGCUAAGGUAAAAGAAAAGUCAAGUCCAGUUUUUAUUUAGGGGAUUCGGUAGGGGAGCGUUCCGCUAUCGGGUGAAUCUUGCACGUAAGUGUGGGUGGACGAAGCGGAAGUGAGAAUGUCGGCUUAAGUAACGAAAACAUUGGUGAGAAUCCAAUGCCCCGAAAACCUAAGGGUUCCUCCACUAGGCUCGUCCAUGGGGGGUUAGUCAGGACCUAAGACUAGGCCGAAAGGCGUCGUCGAUGGAAAACAGGCGAAUAUUCCUGUACUGAUUCUGUUGGGAACCGAAGGACGAAGUAGGCUAAACUGGAACUGCUAGUGGAUAACAGUGGAAGCAUUCAAGACGUUAAAAGGUAGAAAAAAAACUAUCCUUGAGUUGAGGUGUGAUCCUUCAUGCCUUUGAAAAAGGGCAUGGACCAGUUGAUGUCAAACUUCCAAGAAAAGCUCGAACACCAUUCAACAACAGAAUCACCUGUACCUGAAACCGACACAGGUAGGUUGGUAGAGAAUACUAAGGGGCGCGAGAUAACUCUCUCUAAGGAACUCGGCAAACUAGCCCCGUAACUUCGGGAGAAGGGGCGCCCUCACGAGGGUUGCAGUGACCAGGCCCAGGCGACUGUUUACCAAAAACACAGGUCUCCGCAAAGUCGUAAGACAAUAUAUGGGGGCUGACGCCUGCCCAGUGCCGGAAGGUUAAGGAAGUUGGUUAUGGCGUAAGUCAAAAGCUGACGACCGAAGCCCCGGUGAACGGCGGCCGUAACUAUGACGGUCCUAAGGUAGCGAAAUUCAUUGACAGGUAAGUUCUGUCCUGCACGAAAGGCGUAACGAUCUGGGCGCUGUCUCAGAGAGAGACUCGGUGAAAUAGACUUGUCCGUGAAGAUGCGGACUACCUGUACCCGGACAGAAAGACCCUAUGAAGCUUGACUGUAUCCUGGAAUAGGGUUUGGGCUCUUCUUGCGCAGCCUAGGUGGGAGGCUUUGAAGAUUUCCUUCUGGGGAAAUUGGAGCCAUCAUUGAGAGACCACUCUGGAAGAGCUAGAAUCCUAAUGGCGUUCCUUUAACAGGACGCUUACGGUUUCAGGUGGGCAGUUUAUCUGGGGCGGAUGCCUCAUAAAAAGUAACUGAGGCGUGCAAAGGUUCUCUCAGCCUGAAUGGAAACUAGGUAUGGAGUGCAAAAGCAUAAGAGAGCUUGACUGCAAGACCUACAAGUCGAGCAGGUACGAAAGUAGGCUUUAGUGAUCCGACGGUGCCGAGUGGAAGGGCCGUCGCUCAACGGACAAAAGUUACUCUAGGGAUAACAGGCUGAUCUUCCCCAAGAGUUCACAUCGACGGGAAGGUUUGGCACCUCGAUGUCGGCUCAUCACAUCCUGGGGCGGUAGUACGUCCCAAGGGUUGGGCUGUUCGCCCAUUCAAGUGGUACGUGAGCUGGGUUCAAAACGUCGUGAGACAGUUCGGUCCAUAUCCG